GAUUUAACGGCCGCGGUACUCUGACCGUGCGAAGGUAGCACAAUCACUUGUUCUUUAAAUGAGGACUAGAAUCAAUGGCGUCACGAGGGUUCCACUGUCUCCUUUUUCUAAUCAGUGAAAUUGAUCUCCCCGUGAAGAAGCGGGGAUAAUAAUAUAAGACGAGAAGACCCCAUGGAGCUUCAAACUCAACGGAUAACUCUACAACUUACUAGAUAUCUUAAGAGACCUAUCCAUUAGUUUUGGGUUGGGGUGACCACGGAGAACAGCCUAACCUCCGUAAUGAAAAGAAUAAAAUCAUAAUCUAAGAGCUACACCUCUAAGAAUUAACAAAUUAACAUACAAUGAUCCAAUUUUAUUGAUCAAUGAACCAAGUUACCCUGGGGAUAACAGCGCUAUCCACUUCUAGAGUCCAUAUCGCCAAGUGGGUUUACGACCUCGAUGUUGGAUCAGGGUGUCCGAGUGGUGCAGCC
rnacentral:rRNA from 1 species